GAGUCCUCAAAGGGCCUCAAAUGGUUCGUCCUCCAACGUCUUCCUGUGCUCCGCGAUCCGGGGCCAUUCGUCUGCAGAGGCCUCGGAUGCCUGAGGAGGAGAAGACACCAGGGUUUUACACUUGUUUGUGUAACUGACUGACCGACUGGUUGCUGGAUUUCGUGGGUUCACCUGAUGCCCUCACCCGAUCAAAUUCAUCCCCGCCGGUUGUCCUCCUCAACACAUCAGCGUCCUCUUCGUACUCGGACAGAUCCUGCAAGAAGAGGCCACAGGCCCAAGCUGAGAGGAGGAAACAGACAGAUGUCACACAUACAGACGUCCUCAGACAGGCCCCGGUUUGUCAACGGUGAAGUUAAAAAACAUUUUUGACAGAUCCACCGUGGGAAAGAAAAGGAAUCCUCUUAAUUCCUACGGAUGACACCGAGGGCCUUUGGGAGUGUUGUUUUGAGUAUUCUUUCCUCAACUACAACCAAAUGUGCAUAUGAACUCUUUUUCUCCUCCACAUUUAACCCCCAAAAAGUGUUUUUAAACUCUUUUCAGACAGAAGACUGAUUGUAAGCUGCAUCAGAGACCGAUUGUUCCUUUGUCAUCAGCACCUGCCUCCCAUCUAUGCGUGUCAUUUCUGGAAACUUGCCAUUCAUUUAUUUUAAUGGCAGGUGGUGCGUAAACCGUCAACACAUAACUACUUCAUUUUUCAAGGUAUCAGAACUAAACAGAGAAAUACUGUGACUCACAGAGACCUCUCUCCGUACUGCCUUCGCCCUGGAAGAAGAUUAAAAAACAUUAUUUGUCAGUAGGGAUAACAUCAGACGAAUACGGAAUUCUAAAAUCUUCGAAAAAUAUGUUAUCUUACUGUACACGACUCCGAGCCCACAACAAACAGAGACCAGGAGAAUUAGGGCUGUGAAACAUCCAAAGACAGUUGCUACUACCGGGACCGGGAGACGGUUCAGCACUGUGGAAGCAGGAGGAAGAAGAAGAAUGAAUCCCGUCUAUCACCUGUUACAAACAUGUUUUACUAAAGCAAACAGUAAUGAACCACCUGUACCUUCUUUAUCCAGAUAUCGCUUCCUGCUGCUUAUUGCGGUGGUGUUGUCAAAGCUGUCAGACACUUCACAACGGUACGUCCCAGCGCUGCUCCUCCCGACAGACAGCAGGAGAAUUGAUUGCUCUGGCGGCUGGUUGGCGACGUAGUAGAAGCUCCCUCGAUCACGUAGCAGGGUUUUGUUCUGGAACCACCGGUACCGUGGAUGAGAGCCCUUUGCCACCCUGCAGUAGAGUCUCAGGCCGACCACGGCAAAGUUCUCUCCUACGUCGUAGUCGUAGUGCAUGGUCACAGGCCCACCGACUGAGACUGAAGGAGACAUCAUGGAUGAGCAAAGGCAGACAUUACAAAAGAAGAAGUGUGCAUCACAGUGUCAUGUCAGCAAAUUCAAACAAUACACAUACCAACUUCUAAGGGCAACCACUGACUGUGAGCGACCGGGCCCCCGUUGUUUGCCUCGCACCGGAGCUCGCCCAAGUACUGACCCAAGAACAGCGGCAAUUUAAAUGCGACGCCUCUGUCUUGGCUCGUCAUACUGCCAACCAAUUCCGUCCUGUUGUAGAGUGUAAAGGUCACAGGUGGAGUCCCUGCUGAUGACUGACAGGUGACCGCGGCAGAAUAGUUCUGGGACUCCUCCUUCAACACGGUGAAGGAGAUGUCAGGGGCCGACACCACAUCUGAGGGAACAAAAUGUGAGAGGAUGUUAUUUUGUAUGAGAGAGAGCUCAUGUCAAAUCUAUGAAACGUGACCCUGAACGUUUAUUCGCCACACAAGACAGUUGACCUUUGACUAUAAUUUCAACAUCAGAGCUUCUGGAGGUGAAGACUGCGUCUUUGAAGUGGUUGGUCGCCACACACACGUAGGAGCCGCUGUCUUCUGACGUGGUUCUGAGGGUGACACAAUUAUUAUUUCAGUUACUUUUCUGAUUCCUUGUUCGGAUCUUUAUUAGAGAGUGUGGGACAUAUGUUUGUUGAGGGAGAUUAUUCCUUAUCUCUGCGACUACUACGAAGAAGUAACGUUCAAUCAAUCCUGCUGUACUCCCUGUCAACCUCUCAGUAUCGCCAUAGCAACCACCAACAUCUUAGCAAUCACCUGGUACCCUCCCUGGUGUUACGUAUACACCGCCACAGAACAGAAUAGUGAAAAAGAUAAUUGAAUAGAUUGUUCAACUGCUCACGACACCAUGGAAGGUGCCAUAGCAACCACCUAGUAACACAGCAGCGGCUGCCCAUGGAGUGUCUGACUGAGACUCUACUGACCUGUUGAGCAAGAGGUGGUUACCCGAGGGAAGAAGACCAGGAGACUGAGCGAUGAGCCGACCAUUCAGCAGCCAUUUGUAGGACACGUAAUUUCCGGCAGUAAGUUUGCAGAGUAGCUCCAGUUUGUCCCCCUCAAAGAACUCCACUGGACCCGAACGCACAACGAUCUGUGAGCCAUUAACUGGCUCUGCAGGACAAACGGCAACAGACUGAGACCCUGAUCUUAUUUCAAACCAACAGCAAUUGGUUGCAAAAGUGGAAAAACCUCUUACCUAAAUAAUCUAGUUCUGGUUCUAGGAAUACUGUCCAAACAUGAUUUUUUUCUGAGUUUUUUAUUUAGUUACAUUUUAUUUUAUUUGGCGGUGCUAGCACUGUGGUUCUAUGGACAGUAAUGUUGUUCUGUCAGUCUUUUGGUUUAGAGUUAAAUAUCUUAUUCAAGAAUAUUACUUAGAUUGUAGUGAAAUUUGGUACAAAGGGUGGAGGUUCGUACAGGAGGAAUUCUGCUCCCUGGCUGAUCCCUUAACGUUUCAUUUGCUGCCAUCAUCAGGUCAAAAUUUCAACUUAUACUUUUGUGUGCGUGUUAAAGAGAGAUAACACUCGUGUCAUGGGUAAACAUUUUGGUUUGUGAGCAAAUAUUUGCUAUACUAAUAAACAUCAGCUGUACUUUUAAUUUAAUACAUUGGGUUUUGUUACAGUUGCUCCAACCAGGAAUAGAAAUAUAUAUAUAGACCUAAAAUAAUGAUGAUAAUAAAGAGUAUAUUUAUAUUAAUACUAAUAGGUAAAUGUGAUCUUGAUGCACACCUGAAACUUUAUAUUAACAUGACUUUAGAGAAAUGUGUUCUUGCAGAUUUCAAUGUGAACAGUGAUCUAUGUUACUGUAGCCCCUGGUAAUAAAGAGACUCACCAACAACC